UACAGAGGGGGCAAGCGUUGUUCGGAAUUACUGGGCGUAAAGGGCGCGUAGGCGGCCAACUAAGUCAGACGUGAAAUCCCUCGGCUCAACCGGGGAACUGCGUCUGAUACUGGGUGGCUUGAAUCCGGGAGAGGGAUGCGGAAUUCCAGGUGUAGCGGUGAAAUGCGUAGAUAUCUGGAGGAACACCGGUGGCGAAGGCGGCAUCCUGGACCGGCAUUGACGCUGAGGCGCGAAAGCCAGGGGAGCAAACGGG
rnacentral:rRNA from 1 species